rnacentral:rRNA from 1 species
UACGAAGGGGCUAGCGUUGCUCGGAAUCACUGGGCGUAAAGGGUGCGUAGGCGGGUCUUUUAAGUCAGGGGUGAAAUCCUGGAGCUCAACUCCAGAACUGCCUUUGAUACUGAGGAUCUUGAGUUCGGGAGAGGUGAGUGGAACUGCGAGUGUAGAGGUGAAAUUCGUAGAUAUUCGCAAGAACACCAGUGGCGAAGGCGGCUCACUGGCCCGGUACUGACGCUGAGGUGCGAAAGCGUGGGGAGCAAACAGGG